ensembl:ncRNA asRNA:CR42547 antisense RNA:CR42547
ACAAACCAGCAGUAGAAUCCUGGACCUUCCUCAUCGUAAUCCUCUUCCUGUGCGUUCUCCCACUCGGUAUAGUUGCCCGAUGGAUCCUCCCUUAUCUGGCCAACCUUCGGCUCUCGGAAAAGCGAGGCCUUGGCCAGGUUGCUAGACUCCGGAGCCAUGAAAACCGGCUCCGUAUAAUCUAUUCGGAUGAAGGUGAGCCGGGCCCCGGUCAGAGUUUCCUUAUAGCGUCUCAGCCCAUGGCCAUAGUACUCGUAUAUGUCGGCGUCGAACUCCCGAUGCUGGUCUACCCAUUGACCAAUCACCUGCACCUUCACCUCGCUCCUGGGGUCCAUGCUUCGUCCGAAAUAGGCUUUUUCCGCAACAUCCAGGCCACCCAUACCAUACAAGUCCAACUCGAGAACAGAGGACCGGUGCUCGAAGAGCAGAGGCAGCCUGGAUAGCUUCCUAUGCUGGUACACACUGGACAUGUUCACAAGGAUCUUCUCCACAAAAUCGUAGUUCAGGCUACCGUAAAUGGGCUUACGUUCGCCACUGGGAUUUCGGAGCACACUGUCACCCAGGUGCAUCUUGUAGCUGUUAGUCACAUUGCGCCACGGCAGGACAUCAACCGAACCAUCUUCCCGAGGAACUUACAAAGUUAUCGCCAAAAAUCAUGACCACACAGGUGAACAGAUUGUCGGACACCGCAUUGACAAGAUCCGUGUGUCGGAAGUGACAGAGCUCUGUCUUCUCCCGCUCCACGUUCGUGGCCUUGGCAAUGUAUGUCAGUCGCUCCUUGGGAUUCAGCUCGGCCGCAUAGUUCUUGAGCACGGUGUGGUAGGGAAUCCAGGCCAGGACCGAAUCACCUCCGUUGGCGCACACCUCCGUCUGAACUCCCCUUCCAGUCAGUUCUCCGUUGCGCAGCCUAAAAAAGUGAUGGUUAUCUCGCCUGAUUGUGGUGGAGCCAUGAUCUGCGCACAGGGUGUCCACGAGGUUUGCCUGGAAAAUGAAGAGAUAAAAGUCCGCCGGCAUUAUCUUCUUCAGCUGCGAUGGACACUUUGUCACUUUAUCGUCAAGCUAAUUCAAUUUGGAAUAUCAGCCACUCGAAUAAUUUAUUGGCUGGCAUUGGAUUUGUCACUUAAGGAUGUCGAUGGGGCAAACUAGUUUGGCGACGCACCAUUUGCCAUUAAAGGUAGGGAGUUUUUCAAAUUGAGGCCAUUUUUAACAAAUAUGGAAUCGUGCAAUCUGCCUUAGUCGCCAAAUAAUUGCACUAACUGAAAUACUUUUAUUCCAAGAGCAGUUGUAUCCAUAACGAAUUGCCAUAAAUUGACUGUUCUAAAAUUCCACUUUUAGUAUGUUUGCUUACCCCCCAAGAAAAUCCAGAAAACUUUAGCUUAUAAAUGGGUAUUCCCAUAUGCCCAAAAUUUUACCUUCUCGUUUUGGGUCAACGUGGUGGCCUUAAUAUGGCACUGUAGGUCCUCCUCGCUGGGGAUGACCACAUGUCGAUCGAUCUCCGACAGAAGGAGGGGAUCUGUCUUAAUGCAGAAAUGAGGAUGUUCAUCGAGGGCCGCACCCAGUGUCACCAGCACGGCCAGGCAUCCGAUGAUGAUGGCUUUCAUAGACAUUUCCGCAGAUCAGAUGCACAGAGUUCUUCGAUUGAAUUGCUCCACAGCCGUCGAUAGGCACACUUCGGUGGUCAAGUAGUAACUAAAUUUGCAAUUUUCUAACACCUGAGCAACGGCCUAUACGAACGCAUUCAACUUGACCGCCAAGCUGUCGCACAACGAACACCUUAAUAUCACCAUAUUUAUCUACUGAUGAAGGAUUCGGCCGAGAUUCGCUUCGAUUUUCGGUGAGAGCCGGUCCGUGUCCGUAAUAGCGUCACCGAAAACCCAGUUAGUGAGCAACGACCGGGGUGAUGAAUGUAUUCGUUUUCCCAACUUGCAGUCCACACUUGGCGAUAAGAUAAUCGGCACCAUUUGACUCAAUCCGAAUAGAACGUGUGUGUAACACUGGUUAGUUAUGAUUUCUGUAAGCAUUAGGGUGGAUCAAUCAGUUUUCGUUUACUUUUAUUUAAGGAAAUAAUAUUAGAUAUUAAUAACAACACAUUUGAGUUCAAAGCCUAAGGUGGGAAUUAAUCAAAUCAAUACGACAUAAAUCUUUCUCACCAUCGACGGCACUCUAGUUAUAAACAUUUUACAAGCCUUACCCUGGACAGCAGACAUAAACAAUUUUCAAACCAAGGAGAAGGCCCGCUCGCUGGACAGUUGCGAUGACAUGGAGACGGGACAGAGCCAGCCAUCAACAAGUGUUAUCCACCAUCACCAUCUUCAAUAGCCCGCAUCCGGUAUCCACUUAACAUCGCUCUCGCGACAGAAGAAAGUCAGCAGGAAUCAACACCACUGACUGGCUUAUGUAGCACCGCAAGACUUAUUAAGGGAAAUAAUAUUGUUUAUAAAUAAAUUCAGUAUAUGAUAGCAUUAA